ACGCGACAAACGGACUCCUGUGCUUGAUUGGGCUGCCCGUCGCUGCCUUGCAGACCCAUUCCGCAAGGCACCGACGGGCUGCCCAAUCAAGCACAGGAGUCCGU
rnacentral:pre_miRNA from 1 species